CACAAAUGAGAACACGUCUGAAGCAGAUUACUUCCUGGUGUGCAGGGAGGACAUAGUCCAGGGUUCAUGUGUAAACUCGAUGGCUGAGUUUCUCACACAUGGAUUAAUCAAAGUCCUCGAUCAUGAAACUUUGUUCUUCAGAGAUCAUCACAACGGCGAGGAGCGCAGAGGGAUGGACCUUCCCCAGUCUGAAUGAGAUUAAGACUGAACAAUAACUGAGCCUGAAGAAGAUUUUCACACACAUGCAGCUUGACCGUUAAGAAUGUGUAUUUGUGUGUCGUUUUGUUUGUGUCCCGUGUGCAUAUUUAUAUUGUGCCUUUAACCAUCAUCUGUCUGCUUGAUCUCAAAGGGAAAUAUCUUUUUAUGUUUGAUACACGUAUCUCUGCAUUGUUAUUAUCCAAAGUGUUAUUUUACUUUAUUUUUAUCUCAAUACUUUUUAAGUACUGUCGAGAUUUUCUUUUGUUACUGAGUUUGACUUUUUUGACUUGAUUGUUCUGUCUGCACUGCAACUGAAAGGUCUGGUAGAAAACUCCACAUGCACUGCGGCUCAGUGUUUAAAGAAAUUUAAAGUCCGGCGUUCAGAUGUUUUCCUCCUUUUGACGAGGAGAAUUUUUUUUUUUUUUUCUUUUGCUGUGAAACAUUUAGCAUCGCUUAGACAAUCACAAUCCCCGAUGUUUGGUGUUUUUGUUUUUUAUGGCAGGUCCGAAGGUGAAAGCAGCUGUAACAAAGCGUGCUCGUUCUGUCGUUCAGUUACUACCUUAGUGAAUCUAAGGGAGAACGAGCAGUCCUCAAACAGAAAACUGAGACCUUUGCAUCUGUUCAGCUUAUUGAAUGUUUAUUUCUUUACUUUGUCUGCAUGUCACGCCUGUUUUGAAGUAUAUUAUCGUGGCCGUACAUAAUGACCAUGAAAUGUUUAAGGGACUAUAAUCUUAGAUUUUCUUUUUUUUAUGCCAAAUAUUGCUGUUUAUUUUAUAUAUAUUUCAUCUCAUUUUCAGACAUGUGAGGCUGUUUGCGGUCACAUAGAGAGCCUGAAACUCAACACUAUCAUAAUAAUCAAUGCUAAUUAUUUAAUGACAGUAAUCACUAUUUCCUCCCAACAGCCCUGUAAGGUUUUCCUGUGUAAGACAAUAUAAUGUAAAUACAUUUUAA
ensembl:lncRNA